rnacentral:sRNA from 1 species
GCCAGGCAUGAUGGCACAUGCCUUUAAUCCAAGCAGCUUGGGAGGCUGAGGCAGGAGGAUCAUGAGUUCAAAGCCAACCUCAGCAACUCAGCAAGACCCUGUCUCUA